rnacentral:tRNA from 2 species
GCCGAGGUAGCUCAGUCGGUAGAGCAGGGGACUGAAAAUCCCCGUGUGGGCGGUUCGAUUCCGUCCCUCGGCACCA